CUGGGAUUGGCUCCUGUUUGGGCUACUUCCUGAAUAAACAAAAACAGAGGAGAACAGCUGGGCAGGUUUUGGCCCAAAGCUAAACUGCAGAAGACGCUGUUAAAAGACACCUUAGUGGGAUUCCACCUUCUCCCACUGUGUGUGUGUCCGGGACAGAGCGUCUGGAUGUAAUCUGCCAUGUGAGGGAGCAGGGGGCAUUACAGUAAGAGAGAAAGUGAAACUCUUAGGAAAUUGUAAAGUUCUUGGGAGGAGUCACAAGAAACAACGACUUCACUGAGAAGGAUGAUGGAGAAAGGAUAUGAGAUUCUCUCAAAUAACACGUAUACAAAUACUGUCAGUGUUAAUAUCACAGUAUCAGCUGCAGAGAUGUGCACCUUGGCGGACUGUGGCCUCUCAGUGGCAGACCUGGUCCAUUCUCACCAUAGCUGUUCUCCUGCUGGCUCUGGUGCCAUUCGUGGUGUACCAGAUGACGACUGCUUUUGACAGUCCCCAUCCACACUCGCUCUUCAAGUCAGCUGCAAUCUGCUUUGGCCUGCUUAGUGAAGCCCUGUUGCUCAAGUGCUUGUGCAGUUACUUCAGCCACCGACUCCAGCGAGCAGAGCUAAGCUCCUUUAGCCUCCAACCUCGCAGAUCUGAGGAGCAUGAAGUCCAAACUAAUCUGAGUCAGUGCACCACGGCAGGGGUCAAAGGUUAGGACUCACAGACAUUGGCGGGAGAGAGGAACCACUUGGUUGUAAGCUCUGAGAGGACAGUAUCAGGGCUUCCACCGUUAAAUAUGACCAGAGGGAAUAAGACCUGUGGUGCAAGAAGAAGAAUAAAAAGAAAAAGACUGACUUAUUUAAAUGUCUG
ensembl:lncRNA